GUUCUUGGUGCUGGACAACGGUCUUUAACAGAGGCUGGAGUAUCCAGGUCACGUCCAACAGUCUCCUGAGGGGCAGUCAAGAGUCUCCUCUCUACCAUCAGCCCUUCUCCUCUCUACCAUCAGGACCACUCCUCUCUACCAUCAGGACCACUCCUCUCUACCAUCAGGACCUCUCCUCUCUACCAUCAGCCAUUCUCCUCUCUACCAUCAGGACCACUCCUCUCUACCAUCAGGACCACUCCUCUCUACCAUCAGGACCUCUCCUCUCUACCAUCAGCCAUUCUCCUCUCUACCAUCAGGACCACUCCUCUCUACCAUCAGGACCACUCCUCUCUACCAUCAGGACCUCUCCUCUCUACCAUCUGCCCCUCUCCUCUCCUCUCUACCAUCAGGACCUCUCCUCUCUACCAUCUGCCCCUCUCCUCUCCUCUCUACCAGCAGCCCCUCUCCUCUCCUCUCUACCAUCUGCCCCUCUCCUCUCUACCAUCAGCCCCUCUCCUCUCCUCUCUACCAUCAGCCCCUCUCCUCUCCUCUCUACCAUCAGCCCCUCUCCUCUCCUCUCUACCAUCAGCCCCUCUCCUCUCCUCUCUACCAUCAAGCCCUCUCCUCUCUAUCAUCAGCCCCACUCCUCUCUACCAUCAGCCCCUCUCCUCUCUACCAUCAGCCCCUCUCCUCUCUACCAUCAGCCCCUCUCCUCUCUACCAUCAGCCCCUCUCCUCUCUACCAUCAGCCCCUCUCCUCUCUACCAUCAGCCCCUCUCCUCUCUACCAUCAGGACCACGCCUCUCUACCAUCAGCCCCUCUCCUCUCUACCAUCAGCCCCUCUCCUCUCUACCAUCAGGACCACUCCUCUCUACCAUCAGCCCCUCUCCUCUCUACCAUCUCACCCUCUCCUCUCUACCAUCAGCCCCUCUCCUCUCUACCAUCAGCCCCUCUCCUCUGUCACACUGAUCUCAGCCUCCUCUCCACCAUCAGCCCCUCUCCUCUCUACCAUCAGCCCCUCUCCUCUCUACCAUCAGCCCAACUCCUCUUUAUCAUCAGUCCUCUCCUCUGGCACACUGAUCUCAGCCUCCUCUCCACCAUCAGCUCUCUCCUCUGUCACACUGAUCUCAGCCUCCUCUGUACCAUCAGCCCCUCUCCUCUGAUUUCACUAGGGAGCCAGAGAUUCAUCACAGGGCUAGAUUUCAGUAAGGAGCCAAAGACUCACCACAGGGCUAGAUUUCACUAGGGAGACAGAGACUCACUCACCUUAGGGCUAGAUUUCACUAGGGAGCCAGAAACUCACCACAGGGCUAGAUUUCACUAGGGAGCCAGAGACUCACCACAGGGCUAGAUUUCACUAGGGAGCCA
rnacentral:lncRNA from 1 species